UUAAUUGAAGAGUUUGAUCAUGGCUCAGAUUGAACGCUGGCGGCAGGCCUAACACAUGCAAGUCGAGCGGCAGCACAGAGGAACUUGUUCCUUGGGUGGCGAGCGGCGGACGGGUGAGUAAUGCCUGGGAAAUUGCCCGGUAGAGGGGGAUAACCAUUGGAAACGAUGGCUAAUACCGCAUAACCUCGCAAGAGCAAAGCAGGGGACCUUCGGGCCUUGCGCUACCGGAUAUGCCCAGGUGGGAUUAGCUAGUUGGUGAGGUAAGGGCUCACCAAGGCGACGAUCCCUAGCUGGUCUGAGAGGAUGAUCAGCCACACUGGAACUGAGACACGGUCCAGACUCCUACGGGAGGCAGCAGUGGGGAAUAUUGCACAAUGGGCGCAAGCCUGAUGCAGCCAUGCCGCGUGUAUGAAGAAGGCCUUCGGGUUGUAAAGUACUUUCAGUAGGGAGGAAGG
rnacentral:rRNA from 1 species